UCCCCGAUAGCUCAAUGGUAGAGCACGCGGCUGUUAACCGCGGUGUUCCUGGUUCGAGUCCAGGUCGGGGAGCCA
rnacentral:tRNA from 1 species